GAUGAAGAACGGAGCGAAAUGCGAUAAGUAAUGUGAAUUGCAGAAUUCAGUGAAUCAUCGAAUCUUUGAACGCACAUUGCGCCCCCUGGUAUUCCGGGGGGCAUGCCUGUUCGAGCGUCAUUUCACCACUCAAGCCUCGCUUGGUAUUGGGCAACGCGGUCCGCCGCGUGCCUCAAAUCGACCGGCUGGGUCUUCUGUCCCCUAAGCGUUGUGGAAACUAUUCGCUAAAGGGUGUUCGGGAGGCUACGCCGUAAAACAACCCCAUUUCUAAGGUUGACCUCGGAUCAGGUAGGGAUACCCGCUGAACUUAAGCAUAUCAAUAAGCGGAGGA
rnacentral:misc_RNA from 1 species